rnacentral:rRNA from 1 species
CCUANGGGAGGCUGCAGUGGGGAAUUUUGGACAAUGGGCGCAAGCCUGAUCCAGCCAUGCCGCGUGUGUGAAGAAGGCCUUCGGGUUGUAAAGCACUUUCGGCCGGAACGAAAUCGCCUUUGUGAAUAGCGAAGGUGGAUGACGGUACCGGAAGAAGAAGCACCGGCUAACUACGUGCCAGCAGCCGCGGUAAUACGUAGGGUGCGAGCGUUAAUCGGAAUUACUGGGCGUAAAGGGUGCGCAGGCGGCCCCGCAAGUCAGGCGUGAAAUCCCCGGGCUUAACCUGGGAAUGGCGCUUGAAACUACGGGGCUGGAGUAUGGCAGAGGGAGGUGGAAUGCCACGUGUAGCGGUGAAAUGCGUAGAGAUGUGGAGGAACACCGAUGGCGAAGGCAGCCUCCUGGGCCAAUACUGACGCUCAUGCACGAAAGCGUGGGGAGCAAACAGGAUUAGAUACCCCGNUANUC